rnacentral:rRNA from 1 species
UACGAAGGGGGCUAGCGUUGUUCGGAAUCACUGGGCGUAAAGCGCACGUAGGCGGAUGUGUCAGUCAGGGGUGAAAUCCCGGGGCUCAACCUCGGAACUGCCUUUGAUACUGCAAGUCUCGAGUCCGGGAGAGGUGAGUGGAAUUCCUAGUGUAGAGGUGAAAUUCGUAGAUAUUAGGAAGAACACCAGUGGCGAAGGCGGCUCACUGGUCCGGUACUGACGCUGAGGUGCGAAAGCGUGGGGAGCAAACAGG